AUUGCUCAGUACGGCGAGUGAGCGGCAAAAGCUCAAAUUUGAAAUCUAGCACUUUCAGUGUUCGAGUUGUAAUUUGAAGAAGGUAACUUUGGUUUUGGCUCUUGUCUAUGUUCCUUGGAACAGGACGUCACAGAGGGUGAGAAUCCCGUGCGAUGAGAUGCCCAAUUCCAUGUAAAGUGCUUUCGAAGAGUCGAGUUGUUUGGGAAUGCAGCUCUAAGUGGGUGGUAAAUUCCAUCUAAAGCUAAAUAUUGGCGAGAGACCGAUAGCGAACAAGUACAGUGAUGGAAAGAUGAAAAGAACUUUGAAAAGAGAGUGAAAAAGUACGUGAAAUUGUUGAAAGGGAAGGGCUUGAGAUCAGACUUGGUAUUUUGCGUUCCCUUCCUUUUUGGUUGGGUUCCUCGCAGUUUACUGGGCCAGCAUCGGUUUGGAUGGUAGGAUAAUGACAUUGGAAUGUAGCUUUACUUCGGUGAAGUGUUAUAGACUUUGUUGAUACUGCCUAUCUAGACCGAGGACUGCGUCUUUGACUAGGAUGCUGGCGUAAUGAUCUUAAGCCGCCCGUCUUGA
rnacentral:rRNA from 1 species